GCCGACAUGGCUCAGUUGGUAGAGCAACGCAUUCGUAAUGCGUGGGUCCGGGGUUCGAGUCCCCGUGUCGGCUCCA
rnacentral:tRNA from 2 species